UACGUAGGGUGCAAGCGUUAAUCGGAAUUACUGGGCGUAAAGCGUGCGCAGGCGGUUUUGUAAGUCUGUCGUGAAAGCCCCGGGCUCAACCUGGGAAUUGCGUUGGAGACUGUAAGGCUAGAAUCUGGCAGAGGGGGGUAGAAUUCCACGUGUAGCAGUGAAAUGCGUAGAGAUGUGGAGGAACACCGAUGGCGAAGGCAGCCCCCUGGGUCAAGAUUGACGCUCAUGCACGAAAGCGUGGGGAGCAAACAGG
rnacentral:rRNA from 1 species